rnacentral:rRNA from 1 species
CCAGCAUGGUAAGUAGAGUUGAUAUAAAGCGAAACUGCGAACGGCUCAUUACAACAGAUAUAAUCUACUUGUUCUAUUCUUUAAACGGAUAACUGCGGUAAUUCUGGAGCCAAUACGUGCUAAAAGCCUAAUUCAGCAAUGAGUUGGGUGCACUUAUCGGAGCAAAAUCAAUCUUGAUUCAUGCUAACUCUAGAUAACUAAGCUUAUCGCAUGACCUUGUGUCGGCGAAAUUACAUUCGAGUAUCUGCCUUAUCAACUAUCGUUGGUAGUGUAUUGGACUACCAUGGUGUUGACGGGUAACGGAGAAUCAGGGUUCGACUCCGGAGAGGGAGCCUUAGAAACGGCUACCAUGUCUAAGGACAGCAGCAGGCGCGCAACUUAUCCACUGUUCAUUGAACGAGAUAGUGACGAGAAAUAACAAGCUCGUUCUCUUUGAGGUCGAGCAUUGGAAUGGAUGAAAUCUAAACAAUUUCAUGAGUACCCACGAGAGGGCAAGUCUGGUGCCAGCAGCCGCGGUAAUUCCAGCUCUCGUAAUGUAUAGAAUUAUUGUUGCGGUUAAAAAGUUCGUAGUUGGAUUUAUACUGCAAGCAGGUAAUUUUUAACGAAAUUCACUUGCUACAGUGUUGCAUGUAAAGGGCUUGCUCUUCGCAUGUAGAUUACUUUGAACGGCUUAAGUGCUCAAGGCGAGUCUUCGGACUGAAUACCGGUGCAUGGAAUAAUGGAACAAGGUUUCGGCCGAGUUUUAUUGGUUUUGUCGGCUAAAACAAUGGUUAACAGGAACAGCUGGGGGCACUCGUAUUGCUGCGCGAGAGGUGAAAUUCGUGGACCGCAGCAAGACGCCCAAAAGCGAAGGCAUUUGCCAAGAGUGUUUUCAUUAAUCAAGAACGAAAGUCAGAGGUUCGAAGGCGAUUAGAUACCGCCCUAGUUCUGACCGUAAACGAUGCCAACUAUCAAUCCGCCAGUGGCUUUCAGUCAUUGGCGGGCGGAUCGACGGAAACGAAAGUUUUUCGGUUCCGGGGGAAGUAUGGUUGCAAAGCUGAAACUUAAAGGAAUUGACGGAAGGGCACCACCAGGAGUGGAGCUUGCGGCUUAAUUUGACUCAACACGGGAAACCUCACCCGGCCAGUACAUCAUAAGGAUUGACAGAUUGAAAGCUCUUUCAUGAUUUGAUGAAUGGUGGUGCAUGGCCGUUCUUAGUUCGUGGCGUGAGUCGUCUGCUUAAUUGCGAUAACGAGCGAGACUCCAACUGCUAAAUACACUAACGAUUUUUUUUGUCGUUAUGGGUUCUUACCUGGAUUCCCGGCUUCAAGUCGCAAAAAAUGAAGCAAUAACAGGUCUGUGAUGCCCUUAAAUGUUCGGGGCGGCACGCGGGCUACAAUGAUGACAACAGCAUGCUUGUGCUCAACCGACAGGCCUUGCCAAACAUUUGAAAUGUUAUUAUGGCUGGAAUUGAGGGUUGAAACUUUCUCUCAUGAACAAGGAAUUCCAAGUAAAUGCAAGUCAUCAACUUGCAUUGAUUACGUCCCUGCCCUUUGUACACACCGCCCGUCGCUACCCGGGACUGAGUUGUUUCAAGAAAUCUACGGACUGCUGGAGUUAAGGCAACUUCGCUUCAAGUGGAAAGUAAAUUAAUCGCAAUGGCUUGAACCGGGUAAAA